GGAGAGGUGGGUGAGCGGCUGAAACCAGCGGUUUGCUAAACCGCCGUGCGCUCAAAAGGUGCACCGAGGGUUCGAAUCCCUCCCUCUCCG
rnacentral:tRNA from 1 species